GAUGAACGCUAGCUACAGGCUUAACACAUGCAAGUCGAGGGGAAACGAUAUUGGAAGCUUGCUUCCGAUAGGCGUCGACCGGCGCACGGGUGAGUAACGCGUAUCCAACCUGCCCACCACUUGGGGAUAACCUUGCGAAAGUAAGACUAAUACCCAAUGAUAUCUCUAGAAGACAUCUGAAGGAAAUAAAAGAUUCAUCGGUGAUGGAUGGGGAUGCGUCUGAUUAGCUUGUUGGCGGGGUAACGGCCCACCAAGGCGACGAUCAGUAGGGGUUCUGAGAGGAAGGUCCCCCACAUUGGAACUGAGACACGGUCCAAACUCCUACGGGAGGCAGCAGUGAGGAAUAUUGGUCAAUGGGCGAGAGCCUGAACCAGCCAAGUAGCGUGCAGGAUGACGGCCCUAUGGGUUGUAAACUGCUUUUAUAAGGGAAUAAAGUGAGUCUCGUGAGACUUUUUGCAUGUACCUUAUGAAUAAGGACCGGCUAAUUCCGUGCCAGCCGCCGCGGUAA
rnacentral:rRNA from 1 species